UUGCCAUCAGUCUAGUUACUAGGCAGUGUAGUUAGCUGAUUGCUAUUAACACCAAUCACUAGCCACACAGCCAGGUAAAAAGACCUGCAA